CCUACGGGAGGCAGCAGUGAGGAAUAUUGGACAAUGGGCGCAAGCUGAUCCAGCCAUGCCGCGUGCAGGAAGACGGUCCUAUGGAUUGUAAACUGCUUUUAUACAGGAAGAAACACACCCUCGUGAGGGUACUUGACGGUACUGUAUGAAUAAGCAUCGGCUAACUCCGUGCCAGCAGCCGCGGUAAU
rnacentral:rRNA from 1 species